UACAGAGGUCUCAAGCGUUGUUCGGAUUCAUUGGGCGUAAAGGGUGCGUAGGUGGCAGGGUAAGUCGGAUGUGAAAUCCCGGGGCUCAACCUCGGAACUGCAUUCGAUACUGCUUUGCUUGAGUACUGGAGAGGAGAUUGGAAUUUACGGUGUAGCAGUGAAAUGCGUAGAUAUCGUAAGGAAGACCAGUGGCGAAGGCGGAUCUCUGGACAGUUACUGACACUGAGGCACGGAAGGCCAGGGGAGCAAACGGG
rnacentral:rRNA from 1 species